rnacentral:rRNA from 1 species
ACGGAAGGCAGCAGUGGGGAAUAUUGGGCAAUGGGGGAAACCCUGACCCAGCAACGCCGCGUGAAGGAGGAAGGCCUUCGGGUUGUAAACUUCUUUUACCAGGGACGAUAAUGACGGUACCUGGAGAAAAAGCAACGGCUAACUACGUGCCAGCAGCCGCGGUAAUACGUAGGUUGCAAGCGUUGUCCGGAUUUACUGGGUGUAAAGGGCGUGUAGGCGGAGCUGCAAGUCAGAUGUGAAAUCCCGGGGCUCAACCCCGGAACUGCAUUUGAAACUGUAGCCCUUGAGUAUCGGAGAGGCAAGCGGAAUUCCUAGUGUAGCGGUGAAAUGCGUAGAUAUUAGGAGGAACACCAGUGGCGAAGGCGGCUUGCUGGACGACAACUGACGCUGAGGCGCGAAGGCGUGGGGAUCAAACAGGAUUAGAUACCCUGGUA